rnacentral:rRNA from 1 species
AGAGUUUGAUCCUGGCUCAGGAUGAACGCUAGCUACAGGCUUAACACAUGCAAGUCGAGGGGAAACGACAUCGAAAGCUUGCUUUUGAUGGGCGUCGACCGGCGCACGGGUGGGUAACGCGUAUCCAACCUGCCCACCACUUGGGGAUAACCUUGCGAAAGUAAGACUAAUACCCAAUGACGUCUCUAGAAGACAUCUGAAAGAGAUUAAAGAUUUAUCGGUGAUGGAUGGGGAUGCGUCUGAUUAGCUUGUUGGCGGGGUAACGGCCACCGAAGGCGACGAUCAGUAGGGGUUCUGAGAGGAAGGUCCCCCANAUUCGGAACUGAGACACGGUCCAAACUCCUACGGGAGACCA